GAUGAACGCUGGCGGCGUGCCUAAUACAUGCAAGUCGAGCGAACAGAUAAGGAGCUUGCUCCUUUGACGUUAGCGGCGGACGGGUGAGUAACACGUGGGUAACCUACCUAUAAGACUGGAAUAACUCCGGGAAACCGGGGCUAAUGCCGGAUAACAUUUAGAACCGCAUGGUUCUAAAGUGAAAGAUGGUUUUGCUAUCACUUAUAGAUGGACCCGCGCCGUAUUAGCUAGUUGGUAAGGUAGCGGCUUACCAAGGCAACGAUACGUAGCCGACCUGAGAGGGUGGUCGGCCACACUGGAACUGAGACACCGUCCAGACUCCUACGGGAGGCAGCAGUAGGGAAUCUUCCGCAAUGGGCGAAAGCCUUACGGAGCAACGCCGCGUGAGUGAUGAAGGUCUUCGGAUCGUAAAACUCUGUUAUUAGGGAAGAACAAAUGUGUAAGUAACUGUGCACGUCUUGACGGUACCUAAUCAGAAAGCCACGGCUAACUACGUG
rnacentral:rRNA from 1 species